AUGACUGAUGGCACCAACAGGUGAUGCAACAGGUUACUAUUCUUUCUGGAUACUCUCCUGAUUACAGUUUUCUGCAAGACUUGCACAGUUGGAGUGGAUCUCAGUACUGCUCAAGACAGCAGCUGGAGGUGUCCCACAUUGCUGCAUCUUCCAAAAUGAUAACCCUUUGUAGACGGUCCCUGUUGCCUUUAAAUGACUGGUGGCACCAACAGGUGAUGCAACAGGUUACUAUUCUUUCUGGAUACUCUCCUGAUUACAGCUUUCUGCAGGACUUGCACAGUUGGAGUGGAUCUCAGUACUGCUCAAGACAGCAGCUGGAGGUGUCCCACAUUGCUGCAUCUUCCAAAAGGAUAACCCUUUGUAGACGGUCCCUGCUGCCUUUGAAUGACUGAUGGUACCAGCAGGUGAUGCAACAGGUUACUACUCUUUCUGGAUACUCUCCUGAUUACAGUUUUCUGCAGGACUUACACACUUGGAGUGGAUCUCAGUACUGCUCAAGACAGCAGCUGGAGGUAUCCCACAUUACUGCAUGUUCCAAAAGGAUAACACUUUGUAGACGGUCCCUGCUGCCUUUAAAUGACUGAUGGCACCAACAGGUGAUGCAACAGGUUACUAUUCUUUCUGGAUACUCUCCUGAUUACAGUUUUCUGCAGGACUUGCACAGUUGUAGUGGAUCUCAGUACUGCUCAAGACAGCAGCUGGAGGUGUCCCACAGUGCUGCAUCUUCCAAAAGAAUAACCCUUUGUAGACGGUCCCUGCUGCCUUUAAAUGACUGAUGGCACCAACAGGUGAUGCAACAGGUUACUAUUCUUUCUGGAUACUCUCCUGAUUACAGUUUUCUGCAGGACUUGCACAGUUGGAGUGGAUCUCAGUACUGCUCAAGCCAGCAGCUCGAGGUGUCCCACGCUGCUGCAUCUUCCAAAAGGAUAACCCUUUGUAGACGGUCCCUGCUGCCUUUAAAUGACUGAUGGCACCAACAGGACUUGCACAGUUGGAGUGGAUCUCAGUACUGCUCAAGCCAGCAGCUGGAGGUGUCCCACGUUGCUGCAUCUUCCAAAAGGAUAACCCUUUGUAGACUGUUCCUGUUGCCUUUAAGUGACUGAUGGCACCAACAGGUGAUGCAAUCCAUUAGUAUUCUUUCUGGAUACUCUCCUUGUUACGGUUUUCUGCAGGACUUGCACAGUUGGAGUGGAUCUUAGGGGUACUCAAGCCAACAGGAGGAGGCGUCUUACGUUGCUGCAUCUUCGAAAAGGAGAAUCCUUCUGCAGACGGUUUCUGCUGCAUCUCUGUGACAAAAGGCACCACCAGGUGAUGCUGCGGGUUACUAUUCUUCUUGGAUACUGCCUUGGUUACGAUGUUCUACAGGACUUGCACAGUUUGAGUGGACCUCCGUGGUACUAUAGCCGACAGGAGGAGGCGUCUUACGUUGCUGCAUCUUCCAAAAGGGGGAUCCUUCUGCAGACUGUUUCUGCUGCUUCUCAAUGAUGAAAGGCACCAACAGGUGAUGCUACAGGUUACUAUUCUCCUUGGGUACUACCCUGGUUACGAUGUUCUGCAGGACUUGCACAGUUCGAGUGUAUCUCAGUGGUACUCAAGCAAACAAGAGGAGGCGUCUCAUGUUGCUGCAUCCUCCAAAAGGGGAAUCCUUCUGCAGACUGUUUCUGCUGCUUCUCAAUGAUGAAAGGCACCAACAGGUGAUGCUACAGGUUACUAUUCUCCUUGGGUACUACCCUGGUUACGAUGUUCUGCAGGACUUGCACAGUUCGAGUGUAUCUCAGUGGUACUCAAGCAAACAAGAGGAGGCGUCUCAUGUUGCUGCAUCCUCCAAAAGGGGAAUCCUUCUGCAGACUGUUUCUGCUGCUUCUCAAUGAUGAAAGGCACCAACAGGACUUGCACAGUUCGAGUGGAUCUCAGUGGUACUCAAGCAAACAAGAGGAGGCGUCUCAUGUUGCUGCAUCCUCCAAAAGGAGAAUCCUUCUGCAGACUGUUUCUGCUGCUUCUCAAUGAUGAAAGGCACCAACAGGACUUGCACAGUUCGAGUGGAUCUCAGUGGUACUCAAGCAAACAAGAGGAGGCGUCUCAUGUUGCUGCAUCCUCCAAAAGAAGAAUCCUCCUGCAGACUGUUUCUGCUGCUUCUCAAUGAUGAAAGGCACCAACAGGUGAUGCUACAGGUUACUAUUCUUCUUGGGUACUACCCUGGUUACGAUGUUCUGCAGGACUUGCACAGUUCGAGUGGAUCUCAGUGGUACUCAAGCAAACAAGAGGAGGCGUCUCAUGUUGCUGCAUCCUCCAAAAGGGGAAUCCUUCUGCAGACUGUUUCUGCUGCUUCUCAAUGAUGAAAGGCACCAACAGGUGAUGCUACAGGUUACUAUUCUUCUUGGGUACUACCCUGGUUACGAUGUUCUGCAGGACUUGCACAGUUCGAGUGGAUCUCAGUGGUACUCAAGCAAACAAGAGGAGGCGUCUCAUGUUGCUGCAUCCUCCAAAAGGGGAAUCCUUCUGCAGACUGUUUCUGCUGCUUCUCAAUGAUGAAAGGCACCAACAGGUGAUGCUACAGGUUACUAUUCUUCUUGGGUACUACCCUGGUUACGAUGUUCUGCAGGACUUGCACAGUUCGAGUGGAUCUCAGUGGUACUCAAGCAAACAAGAGGAGGCGUCUCAUAUUGCUGCAUCCCCCAAAAGGAGAAUCCUUCUGCACACUGUUUCUGCUGCUUCUCAAUGAUGAAAGGCACCAACAGGUGAUGCUACAGCUAGGUUACUAUUCUUCUUGGGUACUACCCUGGUUACGAUGUUCUGCAGGACUUGCACAGUUCGAGUGGAUCUCAGUGGUACUCAAGCAAACAAGAGGAGGCGUCUCAUGUUGCUGCAUCCUCCAAAACAAGAAUCCUCCUGCAGACUGUUUCUGCUGCUUCUCAAUGAUGAAAGGCACCAACAGGUGAUGCUACAGGUUACUAUUCUUCUUGGGCACUACCCUGGUUACGAUGUUCUGCAGGACUUGCACAGUUCGAGUGGAUCUCAGUGGUACUCAAGCAAACAAGAGGAGGCGUCUCAUGUUGCUGCAUCCUCCAAAAGGGGAAUCCUUCUGCAAACUGUUUCUGCUGCUUCUCAAUGAUGAAAGGCACCAACAGGUGAUGCUACAGGUUACUAUUCUUCUUGGGUACUACCCUGGUUACGAUGUUCUGCAGGACUUGCACAGUUCGAGUGGAUCUCAGUGGUACUCAAGCAAACAAGAGGAGGCGUCUCAUGUUGCUGCAUCCUCCAAAAGGAGAAUCCUCCUGCAGACUGUUUCUGCCGCUUCUCAAUGAUGAAAGGCACCAACAGGUGAUGCUACAGGUUACUAUUCUUCUUGGGUACUACCCUGGUUACGAUGUUCUGCAGGACUUGCACAGUUCGAGUGGAUCUCAGUGGUACUCAAGCAAACAAGAGGAGGCGUCUCAUGUUGCUGCAUCCUCCAAAAGGGGAAUCCUUCUGCAGACUGUUUCUGCUGCUUCUCAGUGAUGAAAGGCACCAACAGGUGAUGCUACAGGUUACUAUUCUUCUUGGGCACUACCCUGGUUACGAUGUUCUGCAGGACUUGCACAGUUCGAGUGGAUCUCAGUGGUACUCAGGCAAACAAGAGGAGGCGUCUCAUGUUGCUGCGUCCUCCAAAAGGAGAAUCCUCCUGCAGACGGUUUUUGCUGCUUCUCAGUUACUAAAGGCACCAACAGGUGCUGUUACAGGUUGCCACUCUUUCUCGAUACUGCCCUGGUUACGAUUUUCUCGAGGAAUUGCACAGUAAGAGUGGAUCUCAGUGGUACUCAAGCCAGCAGAUGGAGGUGCCCUACGGUGCUGCAUCUUCCAAAAAGAUAAUCCUUUUGGAGACGGUUUCUGCUGCUUCUCAGUGACUAAAGGCAACCGGUGAUUCUACAGGUUACUGUUCUUUCUGAAUACUGCCCUGCUUAACAUUUUCUGUGGGACUUGCAUGGUUUAAGUCGAUUUCAGUGUUACUCAAGAAACAGAUGAAGGUGUUGUGUUCUGUUGCAUCUUUCAAAGGCAUAAUCCGUCGCAGACAGGUCUUGCGAAUUUUGUUAGUGGAUAUCCGAUAUGAUAUAAGGCACCAGCAGGUUGCAAAACUAUCUGGUUACUGUCCUGCUUUCCAUUACCUGUAGGUCCUGCCCGGUUAGAAUGGAUCUCUGGUACUUAAGCCAACAGAUGGAAGUACCCAUCCUUGCUCUUUGUUUCCAAAGAAUCCUCCCUCAUGCCUAACGGUCGUUGCAUCUCAAAAGCACAUGAUGUCCACUACAUUGCUGUCUGCUGCGCUUCUCCGGUGGUGGUGAUCUGAUCGUUCGUGUCCAUGCCUACAUGCACCAGCGGGCCCUAAAGUUGUGUCACGCGACAAAAGUACACAUCCUUUACUUGCAAAGCGCUGGAACGACGCAAGGGACGCUGGAUAUCUAUGCAAGAUGCUGAAGCUCUGUAGGACGAAAUUCUCGAGGGAUUCUCGCAACGAAUGUGAUGUACAUAGUUGUGCUUUUUCAUGUUUAGGGUUCUUUCGCAUUGCGUCCCAUAAAGGGAACAGCAUAACACACGUGAACACCUUUGAACUUUUGAUACGGAUGAGGGCUGUGGUAGACUUGCUUGUGGUGCCUAUUAUGGUCUUCUCCUUUCGUUUCAUCCGUUCUGGUUGGUUGGUCGGUUUGUCCUUUUGCUUUCGUUUCGUUUCGUUUCGUCUCGUUUCGUUUUGGACAGUGCGUUUCGGUCGUUGAAUAUCCCAUGGUUAUCAAAUUUGUUCUUCUUUUCUUCCAUAAGUUGGGGCUUGCGGUACUUACGGAAGCAAGAGGCUUGCGUGGUCUAUCUUAUGGCAUUUAUUCAGUUAGCCGUGCCGGUGUCCUAUGUGUGAAUUACUUGCUCGUCACCAGGGAGCAUAAACAACACAAACAACGCAAACCCAGUCACAAGUACCCGUAUUUGCUCUGAAAUGCAUGCUUUUAUUUAUCGUGCCUGUAACUUUGACCUUCGUUGAUAUUCGUUGGCGUCUGACUGAAAUGUGAAAUAUAUUUUGCUAU